rnacentral:rRNA from 1 species
AUUGAACGCUGGCGGCAUGCUUUACACAUGCAAGUCGAACGGUAACAGGGUGCUUGCACCGCUGACGAGUGGCGAACGGGUGAGUAAUGCGUCGGAACGUGCCGAGUAGUGGGGGAUAACGCAGCGAAAGUUGUGCUAAUACCGCAUACGUACUGAGGUAGAAAGUGGGGGACCUUCGGGCCUCACGCUAUUCGAGCGGCCGACGUCUGAUUAGCUAGUAGGUGAGGUAAAGGCUCACCUAGGCGACGAUCAGGAGCGGGUCUGAGAGGAUGGGCCCCCAACCUGGGACUGAGACACGGCCCAGACUCCAGCGGGAGGCAGCAGUGGGGAAUUUUGGACAAUGGGCGAAAGCCUGAUUCAGCCAUGCCGCGUGUCUGAAGAAGGCCUUCGGGUUGUAAAGGACUUUUGUCAGGGAGGAAAUCCCUAGUGCUAAUAACACUGGGGGAUGACAGUACCUGAAGAAUAAGCACCGGCUAACUACGUGCCAGCCGCCGCAGUAA